GAGUUUGAUCGUGGCUCAGAACGAACGCUGGCGGCAGGCUUAACACAUGCAAGUCGAACGCGUGUAGCAAUACACGAGUGGCGCACGGGUGAGUAACACGUGGAUAUCUGCCUUUUGGUUCGGAAUAACCCUGGGAAACUAGGGCUAAUACCGGAUGGUUCCUACGGGAUAAAGAUUUAUCGCCAAAAGAUGAGUCCGCGUCCGAUUAGCUAGUUGGUGAGGUAAUGGCUCACCAAGGCGACGAUCGGUAGCUGGUCUGAGAGGACGAUCAGCCACACUGGGACUGAGACACGGCCCAGACUCCUACGGGAGGCAGCAGUGGGGAAUAUUGGACAAUGGGGGCAACCCUGAUCCAGCCAUGCCGCGUGAGUGAUGAAGGCCUUC
rnacentral:rRNA from 1 species